rnacentral:rRNA from 1 species
AACGAUCUGUAGCUGGUCUGAGAGGACGACCAGCCACACUGGAACUGAGACACGGUCCAGACUCCUACGGGAGGCAGCAGUGGGGAAUUUUGGACAAUGGACGCAAGUCUGAUCCAGCCAUUCCGCGUGCAGGACGAAGGCCUUCGGGUUGUAAACUGCUUUUGUACGGAACGAAAAAGCUCUUAUUAAUACUAGGAGUCCAUGACGGUACCGUAAGAAUAAGCACCGGCUAACUACGUGCCAGCAGCCGCGGUAAUACGUAGGGUGCAAGCGUUAAUCGGAAUUACUGGGCGUAAAGCGUGCGCAGGCGGUUAUAUAAGACAGAUGUGAAAUCCCCGAGCUUAACUUGGGAACUGCAUUUGUGACUGUAUAGCUAGAGUACGGCAGAGGGGGAUGGAAUUCCGCGUGUAGCAGUGAAAUGCGUAGAUAUGCGGAGGAACACCGAUGGCGAAGGUAAUCCCCUGGGCCUGUACUGACGCUCAUGCACGAAAGCGUGGGGAGCAAACAGGAUUAGAUACCCUGGUAGUCCACGCCCU